UCCGUGUUGACCACGGCAGUCUCGCGUGAAAAUUAACACACGACGAGGGUUGCGCUCGUUACUCCACUGAAGGAAACAUUUCACAACACGAGCUGACGGCAACCGUGCAGCACCUGUCUAACACAUUUAAUUAGGUCAUCCCUUUCGGGCGACUUGGACAGUUAGAUUUCAAACCCUGGUGAGGUUCCUCGCUUAGCAUCGAAUUAAACCACACGCUCCACCGCUUGUGCGGGCCCCCGUCUAUUCCUUUGAGUUUUAGCCUUGCGGCCGUACUACCCAGGCGGUCGACUUAACGCGUUAGCUUCGACACUGACGGGGUCGAAUCCGCCAAUGCCUAGUCGACAUCGUUUACGGCGUGGACUA
rnacentral:misc_RNA from 1 species